UGGGGAAUUUUGGACAAUGGGCGAAAGCCUGAUCCAGCAAUGCCGCGUGUGUGAAGAAGGCCUUCGGGUUGUAAAGCACUUUUGUCCGGAAAGAAAUCCUUGGCUCUAAUACAGUCGGGGGAUGACGGUACCGGAAGAAUAAGCACCGGCUAACUACGUGCCAGCAGCCGCGGUAAUACGUAGGGUGCAAGCGUUAAUCGGAAUUACUGGGCGUAAAGCGUGCGCAGGCGGUUUGCUAAGACCGAUGUGAAAUCCCCGGGCUCAACCUGGGAACUGCAUUGGUGACUGGCAGGCUAGAGUAUGGCAGAGGGGGGUAGAAUUCCACGUGUAGCAGUGAAAUGCGUAGAGAUGUGGAGAAAUACCGAUGGCGAAGGCAGCCCCCUGGGCCAAUACUGACGCUCAUGCACGAAAGCGUGGGGAGCAAACAGGAUUAGAUACCCUGGUAGUCCACGCCCUAAACGAUGUCAACUAGUUGUUGGGGAUUCAUUUCCUUAGUAACGUAGCUAACGCGUGAAGUUGACCGCCUGGGGAGUACGGUCGCAAGAUUAAAACUCAAAUGAAUUGACGGGGUCAUAGCUGUUUCCU
rnacentral:rRNA from 1 species